rnacentral:rRNA from 1 species
AACGAACGCUGGCGGCAGGCUUAACACAUGCAAGUCGAGCGCAUCCUUCGGGGUGAGCGGCAGACGGGUGAGUAACGCGUGGGAACGUACCCUUUCCUACAGAAUAGCUCCGGGAAACUGGAAUUAAUACCGUAUGCGCCCUUAGGGGGAAAGAUUUAUCGGGGAAGGAUCGGCCCGCGUUGGAUUAGCUAGUUGGUGGGGUAAAGGCCUACCAAGGCGACGAUCCAUAGCUGGUCUGAGAGGAUGAUCAGCCACAUUGGGACGGAGACACGGCCCAAACUCCUACGGGAGGCAGCAGUGGGGAAUAUUGGACAAUGGGCGCAAGCCUGAUCCAGCCAUGCCGCGUGAGUGAUGAAGGCCUUAGGGUUGUAAAGCUCUUUCAGUAGGGAAGAUAAUGACGGUACCUACAGAAGAAGCCCCGGCUAACUUCGUGCCAGCAGCCGCCGUAA